rnacentral:rRNA from 1 species
UACGUAGGGGGCCAGCGUUGUCCGGAUUUACUGGGCGUAAAGCGCGCGUAGGCGGAACGUUAAGUCCGGUCUGAAAGCCCCCGGCUCAACCGGGGAGGGUGGCUGGAAACUGGCGUUCUUGAGGGCGAGAGAGGAGGGUGGAAUUCCUGGUGUAGCGGUGAAAUGCGUAGAUAUCUGGAGGAACACCGGUGGCGAAGGCGGCAUCCUGGACCGAUACUGACGCUGAGGAGCGAAAGCCAGGGGAGCAAACGGG